UGGUUCCUCCUCUCCUCUUUUCCAACCCGUAAACAAAAACUAUAAGAAUUGUGAGUUAGUUAACGCAACUAGGGGUACUGUUGGUCGUGUAACAUUUAAAUAACCGAUCGCUACAGCCUUGAAGGGUGAUUACAACAAGCCGUGUUUUGAAAGUAGGUGUGGAUAUUCUUUCCAGACAUACAAGCUGCUUUACGCUCUAUUUUGGACUCUACGAUGUCUUCUAGCGAAAUUUGGCAGCAUUUCGAAAG